rnacentral:rRNA from 1 species
AGUGAACGCUGGCGGUAGGCCUAACACAUGCAAGUCGAACGGCAGCACAGUAAGAGCUUGCUCUUACGGGUGGCGAGUGGCGGACGGGUGAGGAAUACAUCGGAAUCUACUUUUUCGUGGGGGAUAACGUAGGGAAACUUACGCUAAUACCGCAUACGACCUACGGGUGAAAGCAGGGGAUCUUCGGACCUUGCGCGAUUGAAUGAGCCGAUGUCGGAUUAGCUAGUUGGCGGGGUAAAGGCCCACCAAGGCGACGAUCCGUAGCUGGUCUGAGAGGAUGAUCAGCCACACUGGAACUGAGACACGGUCCAGACUCCUACGGGAGGCAGCAGUGGGGAAUAUUGGACAAUGGGCACAAGCCUGAUACAGCCAUACCGCGUGGGUGAAGAAGGCCUUCGGGUUGUAAAGCCCUUUUGUUGGGAAAGAAAAGCAGCAGGUUAAUACCCCGCUGUUCUGACGGUACCCAAAGAAUAAGCACCGGCUAACUUCGUG